GAUGAACGCUGGCGGCGUGCUUAACACAUGCAAGUCGAACGAAGAAGAGUUGAAUGAGAGCUUCGGCAGGAUUUCUUCUCAUCUUAGUGGCGGACGGGUGGGCAACGUGUGGGCAACCUGCCCUGUACUGUGGAAUAAUCACUGGAAACGGUGACUAAUACCGCAUGUCAUCACUGGUGGGCAUCCUCUGGUGAAAAAGGAGCAAUUCGGUACAGGGUGGGCCCGCAUCUGAUUAGCUAGUUGGUGAGAUAACAGCCCACCAAGGCAACGAUCAGUAGUCGACCUGAGAGGGUGAUCGGCCACAUUGGGACUGAGACACGGCCCAA
rnacentral:rRNA from 1 species